rnacentral:rRNA from 1 species
CCUACGGGAGGCAGCAGUGAGGAAUAUUGGUCAAUGGACGAGAGUCUGAACCAGCCAAGUAGCGUGAAGGAUGACUGCCCUAUGGGUUGUAAACUUCUUUUAUAAAGGAAUAAAACGAGGCACGUGUGCCUUUUUGCAUGUACUUUAUGAAUAAGGAUCGGCUAACUCCGUGCCAGCAGCCGAGGUAAUACGGAGGAUCCGAGCGUUAUCCGGAUUUGUUGGGUUUAAAGGGAGCGUAGAUGGGUUGUUAAGUCAGUUGUGAAAGUUUGCGGCUCAACCGUAAAAUUGCAAUUGAUACUGGCAGUCUUGAGUACAGUUGAGGUAGGCGGAAUUCGUGGUGUAGCGGUGAAAUGCUUAGAUAUCACGAAGAACCCCGAUUGCGAAGGCAGCUUACUAAACUGUGACUGACAUUGAUGCUCGAAAGUGUGGGUAUCAAACAGGAUUAGAUACCCGGGUAGUC